rnacentral:tRNA from 1 species
GGGAAUAUAGCUCAGUUGGUAGAGUGCUUGCCUAGCAUGCACAAAGCCCUGGGUUCAAUCCCCAGCAGCACCA